GGGUUCCUCUUCUUCUCCAUGUUGUUCCUCAUGUUCGCCGCUCUGAUGCCCACGGUGCUCACAUUUCCUUUGGAGUUGGGAGUUUUCCUGAGGGAACACCUGAACUACUGGUACAGUCUGAAGGCGUAUUACCUGGCCAAGACCAUGGCUGAUGUUCCAUUCCAGGUCUUCUUCCCGGUGG